CAACUACUCCCUCGUCCGGAAAUAUUUGUCGAAGAAAUGGAUACAAAUGGAUGUAUCUAGAACUAAAAUACAUCUAGAUACAACCAUUCCUCGGACAAGUAUUUCCGAACGGAGGGAGUAUAAU
rfam:Triticum aestivum genome assembly, contig: Triticum_aestivum_CS42_TGACv1_scaffold_433057_5DL